AGUGCUGAUGAUGAGUCAAGUUAUUGCCUACAUUGUUUGACAAAUAUGUGAUAAUAAUCGCAGCAACUGAGGCUUGU
rfam:Hordeum vulgare subsp. vulgare, WGS project CAJW01000000 data, contig: morex_contig_136919